UGCAGUGCUGCGCUCCGUGUAUUUGACAAGCUGAGUUUGACACUCAAUGUGGCAGAGUGUCAGUUUGUCAAAUACCCCAAGUGAAGCAUUUGCUUA
rnacentral:pre_miRNA from 2 species